AUUGAACGCUGGCGGCAGGCCUAACACAUGCAAGUCGAGCGGAUGAAGGGAGCUUGCUCCUGGAUUCAGCGGCGGAUGGGUGAGUAAUGCCUAGGAAUCUGCCUGGUAGUGGGGGAUAACGUCCGGAAACGGGCGCUAAUACCGCAUACGUCCUGAGGGAGAAAGUGGGGGAUCUUCGGACCUCACGCUCUCAGAUGAGCCUAGGUCGGAUUAGCUAGUUGGUGGGGUAAAGGCCUACCAAGGCGACGAUCCGUAACUGGUCUGAGAGGAUGAUCAGUCACACUGGAACUGAGACACGGUCCAGACUCCUACGGGAGGCAGCAGUGGGGAAUAUUGGACAAUGGGCGAAAGCCUGAUCCAGCCAUGCCGCGUGUGUGAAGAAGGUCUUCGGAUUGUAAAGCACUUUAAGUUGGGAGGAAGGGCAGUAAGUUAAUACCUUGCUGUUUUGACGUUACCAACAGAAUAAGCACCGGCUAACUUCGUG
rnacentral:rRNA from 1 species